UGCAAGUCGAACGAACCUUCGGGUUAGUGGCGGACGGGUGAGUAACGCGUGAGAAUCUGCCCUCAGGAGGGGGAUAACGGUUGGAAACGACCGCUAAUACCCCAUAUGCCGCGAGGUGAAAUGAAUUUCGCCUGAGGAUGAGCUCGCGUCUGAUUAGCUAGUUGGUGGGGUAAGAGCCUACCAAGGCUUCGAUCAGUAGCUGGUCUGAGAGGAUGAUCAGCCACACUGGGACUGAGACACGGCCCAGACUCCUACGGGAGGCAGCAGUGGGGAAUUUUCCGCAAUGGGCGAAAGCCUGACGGAGCAACGCCGCGUGAGGGAUGAAGGCCUCUGGGCUGUAAACCUCUUUUAUCAAGGAAGAAGAUCUGACGGUACUUGAUGAAUAAGCCACGGCUAAUUCCGUGCCAGCAGCCGCGGUAAUACGGGAGUGGCAAGCGUUAUCCGGAAUUAUUGGGCGUAAAGCGUCCGCAGGCGGUCUUACAAGUCUGUCGUUAAAGCGUGGAGCUUAACUCCAUUUCGGCGAUGGAAACUGUAAGACUAGAGUGUGGUAGGGGCAGAGGGAAUUCCCGGUGUAGCGGUGAAAUGCGUAGAUAUCGGGAAGAACACCAGUGGCGAAGGCGCUCUGCUGGGCCAUAACUGACGCUCAUGGACGAAAGCUAGGGGAGCGAAAGGGAUUAGAUACCCCUGUAGUCCUAGCCGUAAACGAUGAACACUAGGUGUCGGGGGAAUCGACCCCCUCGGUGUCGUAGCCAACGCGUUAAGUGUUCCGCCUGGGGAGUACGCACGCAAGUGUGAAACUCAAAGGCAAUUGACGGGGGCCCGCACAAGCGGUGGAGUAUGUGGUUUAAUUCGAUGCAACGCGAAGAACCUUACCAGGGUUUGACAUCCUGCGAAUCCCUUGGAAACUUGGGAGUGCCUUCGGGAGCGCAGUGACAGGUGGUGCAUGGCUGUCGUCAGCUCGUGUCGUGAGAUGUUGGGUUAAGUCCCGCAACGAGCGCAACCCACGUCUUUAGUUGCCAGCAUUUAGUUGGGCACUCUAGAGAGACCGCCGGUGAUAAACCGGAGGAAGGUGUGGAUGACGUCAAGUCAUCAUGCCCCUUACAUCCUGGGCUACACACGUACUACAAUGCUACGGACAAAGGGCAGCAAACUCGCGAGAGCUAGCCAAUCCCAUAAACCGUGGCUCAGUUCAGAUCGUAGGCUGCAACUCGCCUACGUGAAGGAGGAAUCGCUAGUAAUCGCAGGUCAGCAUACUGCGGUGAAUACGUUCCCCGGGCCUUGUACACACCCGCCCGUCACACCCAUGGAAAGUUGGCCACGCCCGAAGUCGUUACUCCAACCCUUUGUGGAGGAGGAUGCCGAAAGGUGGGGCUGAUGACUGGGGUGAAGUCGUAACAAAGGUAGCCGUACCGGAAGGUGCGGCUGGAUCACCUCCU
rnacentral:rRNA from 1 species